CAGUCGCCGCGGGAAUACGUAGGGUGCAAGCGUUGUCCGGAAUUAUUGGGCGUAAAGAGCUCGUAGGCGGUUUGUCGCGUCUGCUGUGAAAUCCCGAGGCUCAACCUCGGGCUUGCAGUGGGUACGGGCAGACUAGAGUGCGGUAGGGGAGAUUGGAAUUCCUGGUGUAGCGGUGGAAUGCGCAGAUAUCAGGAGGAACACCGAUGGCGAAGGCAGAUCUCUGGGCCGUAACUGACGCUGAGGAGCGAAAGCGUGGGGAGCGAACAGGAUUAGAUACCCCAGUAGUCCCUGUCUCUUAUAC
rnacentral:rRNA from 1 species